rnacentral:lncRNA from 1 species
CUCUGAGUGCAAUAUCAGGUCUUACUGUCCCUGCCCAGCCUCCCCUGAGGCCUUCCCCACUACUACGUAUGGACACAGGAGCUCAUCUCUGCUCAGCCUGGUCCCUGUAGGAGCCUGGGCUCAACCCCUGGACCUGGACCUUGGACCCAGGCUGCAGCCAUGUCCCCAGCCCUAUCUCUGUCACCAUCUCGUGCUGCUGGAGACCCUGGCCCUGAAAUCUCACCACCAAUAUGUUACUGUUGAAUUUCAAUCAACAUCUUUUUCGUCUUACUUUGCAGAAUUUUGGCAUCCCAGAGAUUCAGUCAGCCCUACCUUGCAAGGAAAAAAAAAAAUGUUUUUUCCACAGCAGAUUGUGACACUGAAGAUGAGGAAAUACAUGCCUCUGGUCAAAUGUAUAGGAGUGCGAAAAUCUGUAAGGUUGAUCUGUUUGCUUUCAGCUGCAUGGUGUUCUUUGCAGUACAAUUGUGGCUCGGGGUAA